GAAAUGCGAUAAGUAGUGUGAAUUGCAGAAUUCAGUGAAUCAUCGAAUCUUUGAACGCACAUUGCGCCCUUUGGUAUUCCAAAGGGCAUGCCUGUUCGAUCGUCAUUUGUACCCUCAAGCUUUGCUUGGUGUUGGGCGUCUUGUCUCUAGCUUUGCUGGAGACUCGCCUUAAAGUAAUUGGCAGCCGGCCUACUGGUUUCGGAGCGCAGCACAAGUCGCACUCUCUAUCAGCAAAGGUCUAGCAUCCAUUAAGCCUUUUUUCAACUUUUGACCUCGGAUCAGGUAGGGAUACCCGCUGAACUUAAGC
rnacentral:misc_RNA from 1 species